UUGGAUUUGCAGUCAUCUUCAGUGCAUCUUGUGGAAAGAUCACAAGCUGUUAUCUUUAAGAGGAAUGGACUUACUCUGUCUCUCCUUUGGUAGGUGAGGCCCAGAAAAGUGGAUUUUUAAAUUAAAGACAUUGCUUUGUAUUUAUAGUAGCGAGAUAGUGUCCUUCCUAGGACUAGAACCCAGAUUAAUCUUGUUUUGAAUGCUGACUCAGACCUGCUGACUUGUGGGAGUUAAUAUCCUUUGAGAGUUAACCAUGCCUUCUUCCCAGUUUUUGCACAAGACCUUUGUGCCGGGAUCACAUGUGGGUAUUAUCCAUGUGGGAUAUAAAUUGCAGUGGAAAUCCAGUUGUCAAAAUUGACUGCAGAAGAGAACCUAACAGACAAGUGAAAAUGGAAGAAAUUGAGAAAGUUAUCAAAAAGCUGCCAUCCCCCAGAACACCAGGUCCACAUGGUGUUUCAGGUGAAUUCUUUUAACUUUCAAGAAAAAGAUAAUUUUGGUAAGAUUUAAAUUGUUAAAUAAAGAAGGAAAAAUGAGAGAUUCCUUGUACAAAGCCAGUGGAACAUUGACACCUGAAAGUGAUGUGAAGGUAGUGCUGAAAUUGAAAACUUGGUGUGUUAUGAGUAGUGAUGUGAAAUUAAAGAAUAAAAUAUUAGCAAACUGUAUUCAGUGAUACAUUAAAGGGGUAUUUCACUGUGGCCAAGUAGGAUUCAUCCCUGUAUUGCAAGGGUGAGUAGGUACCAAGAAAUUUGCAAAUGUAUAUGUGAAAUAAAUACAUCCAAAAAGAACAGUAGUAAUAGUUCAUCCUUGCUGAGCCACCGACUGCUCUAGACUGCUCUCCUGGGUGCUUUACAUGUAUGAGGCUGGUGUAUGAGGUAGGUAACAUCGUUAUUUAAAAAAAAUUUUUUUUUGCAAGGGGUAGGUAAUUGGGUUUAUUUCUUUAUUUUAGUGUUUUCAAUGGAAGUACCUGGGUAUUGAACCCAGGACCUCAUGCAUACUAAGCAUGUGCUCUGCCACUUGAGCUAUACCCUCCCCCCACAACAUCCUUAUUUUAUAAAUGAGGAAACUACGCCAUUGAGUAACUUGGUGAAGGUCACACCAUAACUAUGUGGGGGAGCCAGAAGUUGAACCCAGUCAAUUAGCUGUGUCUGUCAAAUGUUACUCUGGCUCUAUCUCUAGUAUCCAUACAGUCUUCUCAGUAGCUUUCUAAAAGCAUCUGACCAAGGAUAGAUUCCUGAUUUAGUGGUAGUGGGAAGGGGUGGAGGUGGUAGUAAAACAGGAAUAAAUACGUAGUCCCUUCCCAUGUUUGAAAACUGUAAUAAAAGGCCCUUAUUAUCAGUUGAUCAUUAGUCCCAGGAAAAUGAAAUCUAUUUCUAAUGGGAAACAAUUUCCUAGUAAAUAAGCAGGGGGUAGGGGCCUAACUUAUAACUGCAGAUAUUCUAAUUCUUAGGAUGAAUGCAGAAUGAAAUUUUGGAGAUUAUACUGUAAUUCGUCAGAUGAGAUUAUAUGCCAGCACAGGGGAGGCACGCUUCACUUCAUGUUUGCAGCACAGUCCUAAGAUGGGCAGGGAUCGAUGUCAACAGGGAAGGUUACUUGAGUGGGAACAAAUUUUAUAUGGGCCAUUUGAUCAGUGAGUAUUUUGGUGUCACGAUGGUUUGUCUCCUGGUGUAAACUUGAAACUGCUAGGACUUGGAUUAUGAGCACUCACAUGACAGGAACUUCCUGUUUCUCAAACCAAAAGCCAAUGUCAUGCUUGACAGUUAAUCCCUAGCAGAGUUUUCACAAAUGUCAAGAACAAUAUAAGAAUGUUCACUAUUACCAUAAUUUAACUUUGUUCAGGAAGAAUUUCUUAAUCCAAUAAGAUAGAAGGAAGAAAGAUACAUACUAUAAAGGAGAAGGCAAAAUUAUUUGUGAUACUUUAUAUAGCAGAAACAAAUAAGUCCACCAAAGAUCUGAGAAACACAGGGCUUUGUAAGUUGGCUGUUUCUAACCUUAAUGCAUAGGAAUUGGUAGCUUUUUCAUACGCAGACAGAAAGCAGUUAGAAAAUUAAUUGGAGGGAGACAACCUACUCGUAAUAAGGACUGUAAAGGAAAAAAUCUAGACAUAAGAAAUAUUCAAGGUCUGUAUGAAAGAAAUUCUAAAUGUUACCAAGGUCUGUAAAAACAAGUAAAUAGGAAGAUACCACAUCCUUGUAUAGUAAGAUUCAGUUUUAAUAAAGUGACAGUUCCUUAAAUUUGUCUAUAAAGUCAUUUCUGCUAUAAAAUACCAAAAAGAUUUUUGGGAAGAAUAUGACAAAAAUACACUAAAGUUUGCCUAGAAAAAUGAGAGCCAGGAAAACUGGUACUUCUGAUAAGAGUAAAAAGGAAAGUCCUACUAGAUAAUGAAAUCUUUUCUGAUGCUACGGUAGAUUAAAACCGGUUGGUACUAGAGAAGAAAUCCUAGGCCACUGCAGAAUGGAAUGGAGUGCAGAAAUCAACGUACUUGCCUGUGAGUAUUUAGAUUAUGCUAACCCGUGAUGAAAAGUAAGCUCAGCAGUCAGUUUCUAGGCAAGCUCUUAACUUUGGUUCAUUCCUUAUAGUGAAACUCCAGAGAAAUUACAAUACAGAUAGCAAAUAAAAUUGUAGAAGUUGUAGAAGGAAGCAUGGAUUACUUGUUUAUAAUUUUAGAACAGUGAAGGCCUUCUAAGGAGGACAGAAAACCUAGAAGCCAAGAUCGAUAGAUUUAAUAUCCAUGUUAAGAACCUUCAGGAUCACAAAAAAUGAUGCAAAGUGGGGAAAGUAUUUGCCAUAAUUGGAUUAAUACAAUUAGGAUUGGUGUUCUUCAUAUAUAAUGACAUUUUACAAAUCAAGAAAAAAAUGAGUGCCUGUAGAAAAAUGGGUAACCUGAAAAUUUACAGUAAAAGAAACGCAGAUGGUCAAUAAAAUUUUUUAAAUGCUGAAUUUGAUUUAAAAAAUAUUAAAUGACAAAACAAGAUUCUUUUUUCUUCACCCAUCAGAUUGGUGGAAAUUACAGUUUAAUACCUGAUGCUGGAAAUGGUAGGGGAACACUGGUAAAUUGUAGUCAGUUUUCUGGGGGCAGUGUGGAGUAGCUAUUGAAUUAAAGUAUAUUGCUGUUUGAGCCAGCUGUCCAUUCUAAAGAUUUACCCUACGGAUAAACUUGUGAGAGUUCACCAGGUGUAGGUGCAAAGUUGCCCAUUGCAAUAUUGUUUAAAAGAGAAAAAAGAAAAAAAAACCAAACCAAAACAAAAAACAGCAACCAUAAAUAGGAGAUAGAAUAAAUUACAUACAGUACAUGCGUUUGAUAGACUACUGUGUAACCAUUCAAAACAUUGGGGUAUCUGCACUGUUGUACACCUUGCUUUUUCACUAAAUAGUGUGUUCUUUUUAUGUUUUUUUUUGAGGUAUUGUCAGUUCACAGUGUUGUGUCAGUUUCUUUUUGUGUAUUUUUUAAAUGGUGGGUAGGUUGGUGAGGAUGGAGUGGAGUGUGACUUGAGUCAGGCUGACUAGUAAAGAGGCUUUGGCACUGGUCAGACAGGAGAUGAAGAGGACCCGGGCUGGGGCGGCAAGCCUAGAGGAGAGGAUGUGUGCAUAUUUAAUUGGUUUAAUUGUAUUUUUC
rnacentral:tRNA from 1 species